GGAAGGAAAAAAAAGGAGCAUGGAAGCAGGAGAUUUUUGGAGAGCAAAGGUAUAUGCUUCUGGAAACCCAGAGGAGGAAAUAGAUUACACAUAUGUUAUUAUAGGAGCUACUCUGGGAGCAGUUCUAGCAAUCGGUUUUGUAGCAGUAAUAAUCUGCAUGAUCAAAUCCAAAAUGAUGGACAGUGUCUUUGGAGAGUCAGAUGGCAAAAUGGAUAGAAGGUCAAACACAGGUUCAAGCCAAAACAGAUGACAGCAAUGCAAUAAGAAAUCAAAGUAUAAAGAUCAAUAACCCUUUUGCAUCAACAGUUACCUGGUCUGAGGAUCAAUAGAAGUCUCUUGUGCAUAGGCAGGAAUCUUACCAAUACCAAUCCUUUUCUUUGUUCUUUAGUUGAAAGGCUGAUUGAUUAUUUACAGGAAGAGCUUACAGUGCAGCUAACUUCAAUCACCUGCACCCAAAAGGCCUGCAAUCCCCCUCAGCAUGUACAUGAAGGAAAUGUAUGAGGAAAAUAAAAUACAUGGUUCACUAAUAGAUCCUCUUUAU
rnacentral:lncRNA from 1 species